rnacentral:rRNA from 1 species
AUGGUGGAGAGGAUGGAGAAAGCGAAGACUCAAGCGAUGAAGAAGAAGUCGAGUCGCCUCCUUGCAGGGAGAGGAGAUCCAAACUUGCCCAAGAACGACCGAGCGUCCGUGAAAAGGCGACUGCUCAAGCUGGUCAAUCUUCGAAGCGUCCUCGGAUCUCUUCACCAACCCCGACCGAGAAAGCGCCCAAGCACCCCAAAGUUGCAGAGCCGAAAAUCCGGAAGGCGUUGCCGAAGAUUAAGAUUGACAUCCUCGUCGCUUCUGCGUAAGUGUCUUCCUUUGUAUACACUCGACGCUCAGCGCCGUUUGUUUUUCUUCUUUUAA